rnacentral:rRNA from 1 species
UGCAGUCGAGCGCCCCGCAAGGGGAGCGGCAGACGGGUGAGUAACGCGUGGGAAUCUACCGUGCCCUACGGAAUAGCUCCGGGAAACUGGAAUUAAUACCGUAUACGCCCUACGGGGGAAAGAUUUAUCGGGGUAUGAUGAGCCCGCGUUGGAUUAGCUAGUUGGUGGGGUAAAGGCCUACCAAGGCGACGAUCCAUAGCUGGUCUGAGAGGAUGAUCAGCCACAUUGGGACUGAGACACGGCCCAAACUCCUACGGGAGGCAGCAGUGGGGAAUAUUGGACAAUGGGCGCAAGCCUGAUCCAGCCAUGCCGCGUGAGUGAUGAAGGUCUUAGGAUUGUAAAGCUCUUUCACCGGUGAAGAUAAUGACGGUAACCGGAGAAGAAGCCCCGGCUAACUUCGUGCCAGCAGCCGCGGUAAUACGAAGGGGGCUAGCGUUGUUCGGAAUUACUGGGCGUAAAGCGCACGUAGGCGGAUAUUUAAGUCAGGGGUGAAAUCCCAGAGCUCAACUCUGGAACUGCCUUUGAUACUGGGUAUCUUGAGUAUGGAAGAGGUGAGUGGAAUUCCGAGUGUAGAGGUGAAAUUCGUAGAUAUUCGGAGGAACACCAGUGGCGAAGGCGGCUCACUGGUCCAUUACUGACGCUG